rnacentral:lncRNA from 10 species
CAAUAUCCUGCCCUUUCCUCUUUAAAUAUUGAAGCCCUCAAAAUCAUCUUCAGAGAAAGGCAUAGACCUGUUUCCCGGUUGUGUGUCCUUAACUCUGGCAAAUAAACCUCCAAAAAUGAAUGGGACUUGCCCUGGUCAUUUUCCUUGAUUGACAAUUGGCACAUCCAAAAGAAAAAUGACAGCCCCCUGCUAAAAGAGCUAAAGAUAAAAAUGGAACAAAGAUUUAUACUUCAAAUGUGAACAUAAAGUAAUAUUAGGCUAAGCAGAACUUAAGGCAGUAAGUUUUAUGGUUAAAAAGUCAAUAUGUGGUCGGCCCCAUGUGUGCAAGUUGCUAUGGUGGAAGUCAAAGGGGAAACAACAAUUCACAGGAAAGAGUACAAAGGCAUCACAAAAAAAUAAAACUGAUUUCAUAAACACGGUGAUUCUGGUUCUUCAAAGACAUUUCCAAGAAAAGUUGCUAAGGAAGGUGAAUCUAAAGCCACAUCUAAGAACUUUGAGAAAAGUGUCACAAAACCAGGGGAAAGGGUGCGAAGCAGUUGAAGAAUAAGCAACAAUGGGACAAAGCACCAAGGAACAAAUUCCAGCCAGCAAAUAAAUUCAACAAGAAGAGGAAACUCCAGCCAGAUGGCAAAAGUGGUGAAUCAGCAGCCAAGAAACCCAAAUGGGAUGACUUCAAAAAGAAAAAGAAAGAACUGAAGCAAAGCAGGCAACUCAGUGAUAAAAGUAACUAUGACACUGUUGUGUGGGCAAAGCAGAUUUGGAAGACUUUAAGAAGAAAAGACUGACAAAGAAAAAAGAGUAAAGUUAAUGAAUGACUUGCAGAAGUUGAUUCAAGGGAAAAUUAAAACUAUUGCAUUUAUUAGCUGGACAUGUUGGCACAUUCCUGUAAUCCCAGCUACUCAGGAGGCUGAGGCAUGAGACUCCUUGAGCCUGGGAGGCAGAGGUUGCAGUGAGCUGAGAUGGUGCCACUGCAUUCCAGCCUAGGGGACAGAGCAAGACUCUGUCUCAAACAAACAAACAAUUGCAUUUGCAAAUGAUUCAACUCAUGUGAUCCAGUGUUACAUUCAGUGUGGUAAUGAAGAACAGUCAAAACAGGCUUUUGAAGAAUUGGGAGAUAAUUUGGUUGAAUUAAGUAAAGCCAAAUACUCCAGAAAUAUUUUAAAGAAAUGUCUCACGUUGUGAACAUGUACCCUAGAACUUAAAGUAUAAUAAAAAAAAAAAAAAAAGGAAAGUAUCUUGCACAAGCUCACGUAGCUGGUAAGUUACAUAGUUGGGAUCUGAAUUCAGUUGUGGCUUCAUGCCUGAGCUUUUAACUACUACUACUAAACUGAGAAGGCACUUGCUUGAGUAAAUUAUGUCAUCCUCUUAAUGAAGCAUUAUGCAGCUGUUAAAGAUGAUAGAUGUAAAGGUUAUGAGGCAACAUGAAAAUAUAACUCAUUUAUUCAAUAAAUGUUUGUUUCUAAAUAUAUUCAUUUGCUGAAUGAAUAAAAUGUUAAGCCAAAAAAAAAAAAAAAAA